GUAGCGAAAUUCCUUGUCGGGUAAGUUCCGACCUGCACGAAUGGCGUAACGACUUCCCCGCUGUCUCCAACAUAGACUCAGUGAAAUUGAAUUCCCCGUGAAGAUGCGGGGUUCCUGCGGUCAGACGGAAAGACCCCGUGCACCUUUACUAUAGCUUCACACUGGCAUUCGCCAAGGCAUGUGUAGGAUAGGUGGUAGGCUUUGAAACUCUCACGCCAGUGGGGGUGGAGCCAUCCUUGAAAUACCACCCUUAUCUUCGUGGAUGUCUAACUGCGGUCCGUUAUCCGGAUCCAGGACAGUGUGUGGUGGGUAGUUUGACUGGGGCGGUCUCCUCCUAAAGAGUAACGGAGGAGCUCGAAGGUACGCUCAGCGCGGUCGGACAUCGCGCACUGUGUGCAAAGGCAUAAGCGUGCUUGACUGCAAGAUCGACGGAUC
rnacentral:rRNA from 1 species